CUCUCAUCCUUGCACCAAAGCAGUGUGCUAGCCUGUUUGAGAACUGGUUUUACCGCUUUUACUUCACCACUGGGUUGAUCCUCACAGGGUUAGGCUAUAGCUUUGACCACUGUAACAGACAACGAAAAGGAUAGAAAGCCUUUCUCCCUCGGCUCCUACUCAGUAGGAAAGACAGCUGCUAAGAGACAGAUGCAACUUGCUAGAACCCAGGCAAUGCCAUCAAGCUUGUGGAAGAAGAGGCUCUGCUCCCCUUGCACAUCAGUGUGUGUGACGUGGACGCAGAGGACACAGAAUCAAGCCGUCAGUACACAUCAGCUGACAACCCCAGGGCAGGCGGCCUCCUCGCCUACAGCAUCCUCUGGGAUUAUGGGUUGGUGUCUGUGCCGCCGGUUGUGAAAAUAGGUUUAUUAUCACCUGUCAUGAGUCCCAGAGUGGCAGUCCAGUGGUUAGGACUGCACUGGCAGUCCAGUGGUUAGGACUCCAUGCUUCCACUGCAGGGGGCGUGGGCUCGAUUCCUGGUUAGAGAACUAUGAUCCCACGUGCUGUGUGGAGCAGC